UACGGAGGGGGCGAGUGUUAUUCAUAGUGAUUGGGCGUAAAGGGUGCGUAGGCGGCGCGGUAAGUCGGGUGUGAAAUCUCGGAGCUUAACUCCGAAACUGCAUUCGAUACUGCCGUGCUUGAGGACUGGAGAGGAGACUGGAAUUUACGGUGUAGCGGUGAAAUGCGUAGAUAUCGUAAGGAAGACCAGUGGCGAAGGCGGGUCUCUGGACAGUUCCUGACGCUGAGGCACGAAGGUCAGGGGAGCAAACGGG
rnacentral:rRNA from 1 species